ensembl:lncRNA
GCAAUUGUGUUUCGAUCAACAUUCAUUUUCACAAAGGCUUUCUUCAUGGAUCCACACUUUUUGAAGAUACGAAGGACAUCCUUAUAGCGACGGAUCACUCCAUCUGUUGUGGUUACGUAAGAACACAACAGAAAAACAAACAAAAUAGGCUGGUUAUAUUAAGACUUUCCUACCUGACUCUGUGGCUAGCAAUAUCUGCCUUCACCAGCCUCGAAGGAGAAUGCCCAGGAAGUAAUGUCCUUUCUUACCUGCCUGUACAAAACAUAACCAGCUUGGAUAGAGGAAGCACAGUGAACUCGGAUGGUACAGAUAAUAAGAAGCUGGAGUCUGAGGAGGGAGAUGUCGAUGUUGAAGUCGAAGAUGAAGAAGGUUCUGGAGCAGUCUUUCUGCCUGGGGGAAGAAAAUUGGGGGAAGAUGUAAGUGUGCUGGGAGCUUCCUUAAUUUUGGCAAGUAGGACGUCCUUGUCAGCUUUCAGGUCCUUGAUGGCCUCCUCCAGGUAAUUAAUGCGCUCCUCAAGGUGUUCUAUCUUCUGUCGGUCCAUCUUGGUUUGUUCCUUCAGUUUGGCCAACUCCAAUGCACCUGUUGGAGACACUGCAACAGAGGAAGUACUUUAAGUGUAUUAUUGAGGUCAGUCAAUGGUGGUGGUUUACUGUUGUGCAAUAUAUUGAUAUGUGUCAUAUGUUAAUCUAUUCUAUCUAUCUAUCUAUUCAUUAACAUACAUACAUUCAUUGCACUGCAGUACACCAACAAAAUUCCCAGUACUUUUGUGCAUAUUGUUUAUUGAGAAGAUAGGCAAAAAAACAUGUAUGUAAAUAUGUAUAAAUAAAAAGUACAUUUCUAGCCCUUGUUGUGUUCAAAAAUGAAGAAACACCGGACGGACCAUCCCUAGUGCCCGUCUGUAGCCUCCACCAGCGAACUCGAGAACAAUGGUUGCUACAGGUAUUUAUAACAAUGCUUAAAGGUGUGAAAGUCAGUGUCCACACCUCUGGGAGUCUUCUGGUGAGUUCAAUGUAACUCGGAUUUCGAAUGAUCCUUAGUCAAUAUCAGUGGUUGUCCAAGUAUUACAUGCAUGCAUUCCAGUUGAUCACAUUACAUCAAAUACAAUCAUAACUGCAUUGAUAUUAUUCUAUUACAGUUGCAGAUUUACAGUGGUUUUACAAUAUUGUCAUUACUUUAUGGAUUACACAGUUUCAGAAUCAUGGCUGUAUUCUGGUGUACACUAUAUGCAUUUUAUUAAUUUUAUGAACCGGGUCGUAUAUUUCUUUCUAAUAUCCUACACCCUACUGGUGAAAGUAGUAAAAAAAACAUAAAUAGACUAGACUUACUGGUUUUCCUUGGGGAAUAUUUGAUUAGCUUUUUUUUCUUUGGAUGAAUAGGGACCUCUUCACAUUCUUGUGCCAGGUCCUCUUCCACAGCGUGUAGCAGCUUGGGGUUAGCUUCAUUAUCCUCAGCCUUCCUGCCACGUUUGCUGAAACGGGUGUCCAUCUGGCUACAGUUGUGUAAGCAACGAAAACAGCACCAUGUCAUAGAAGCUAAGAUUAAGAUACAAUAGUCAAACGUGACAUCUUAGUUGUUUAGAAAUAGCGACAAGAAAACUGGAGCAAAUAC